rnacentral:lncRNA from 1 species
GGAACUUCAUCAUUAUGGGUUCUGAUUGCAGAGCGACUAUGACUAUAUAAUGCUGUAUGGAAUCCUCUUCCAUCUAGAAGGAGAGAGCCAGAGUAACAGGUGUGCAGCACCCAGAAAUAGCCUAAGAGAACAUUGGAAUGACCUCUCAUUUAAGGCACCAGCUUGAAGACAACACCCUGUGGGGUUGAGACAUUGUAGCUGACCACCUUCUUGAUGGAGACUCUGUGGAUUGGACUUAGGGAAGGCGAGAACAGUGAUAUAAGGAGCCCUCUUGUGCACCACUUCAAAUCCUUUUAGCUCUUACUCCAGCCACUGCUUUGGUAACCAGCUUUGCACAGACGUCAACCAGUUCUUUGCCUGUACAACAUGACAGUGCCUUGUCUUGGGCCCAGUGCUACAUAUGUCUUAGUCUGUCCUUGAUGCUGUUGGCACGUACACAGGUGUAACCCAAAAUACAGGGAGGUUUAAGGUUUGUGGGGUAUUCUUACAGUCUAAGGCUCAGAUCAAUGGAGGAUGCAAGCCAAAGGAUAAAUCGUUCCUCUUUCAUCCCCCAAGCACACAGCUCUGAGAUGCAUGCAUGAGACUUACUAGAAAGUCCUCUAGUUUGAGCACCCGUCGCAGAUAGCCUGGCCAACUCACGAACACAGCCAUCCUUCCCUGUUUCAUUUCCUUGUUCUUCACUCUUGCUCCCAGAGACACAUUCCCAAAUAAACUGCCCACGUGAAAGCCUUUGUCUCAGUCUCUGUUUUGGAGGAAACUAAGAUAAGAUGCAUGGCCACACCUAAUAACUGCAGAAGAGGCUGGAGAAAUCACAUCACAGGGCAGCUAUAUGUCCAGUUUCCAUUACUACGGAAGACGAGGGAGCAGAUUUGGUGGCCAGCUAGCAGUCUCCACUCCAGCAGGAAAGUGCUGAAACAUUUGACAGACGCCCCAGCCAAAGAGUUAAAAAUAAUAGAAGUUUUGAUGCUUAAAAGGAUAAGUAGUACAACUACCAUUGUCCAAAGAGAAGAGGACAUUUCCUUGGCUGUGACCAGCAGAGUGGAGAGAGAAGAGGAGAAUGCCAAGGGUCAGAUGGCUGGAAUGUGACCACACUUAGCUACCAGGAAGGAAAGGAUGAGCCAUUAAAGGAGAAAAAC